rnacentral:rRNA from 1 species
AUGAGUUUGAUCCUGGCUCAGAAUGAACGCGCAAGACGUACAUUACACAUGCAAGUUUAAUGGAUAUUUUUAUCCAUAGCGUAUAGGUGAGUAAAACAUAAAAAUCAAAAUUUAGAUUAGAAAUAAUAAAAAUAAAGUUUUAGUAAUGUCUAAUAAACGCAUUUAAAGUGUUUUAAAAAGGUUAUUACCGUCUAAAAAUGAAUUUAUGUCUGAUUAGCUAGUUGGUAAAGUAAAAGCUUACCAAGGCGAUGAUCAGUAGUUGGCCUGAGAGGGUGGUCAGCCACAUUGGGAUUGAGAUAAGGCCCAAACUCCUACGGGAGGCAGCAGUGGGGAAUUUUCUGCAAUGAGCGUAAGCUUGACAGAGUGGCGUCGCGUGAAGGAAGAAGGCUGUAAUAGUUGUAAACUUCUUUUGCCUUAUUUAUCAAUACUGAUAUUAAAAGGUUUCAAAAAGCAUCGGCUAACUUCGUGCCAGCAGCCGCGGUAAGACGAGGGAUGCAAGCGUUAUUCGGAAUUACUGGGCGUAAAGCGUCUGUAGGUUGUUUUAUGUGUGUUUAGUAAAAUUUCUUAGUUUAAUUAAGUAAUAUCUAUAUAAACUAUAAAACUAGAGUACAUUUAGAGGUAAAAGUAAUUUCUUAAGGAGUGGUGAAAUACGAAGAUAUAAGAAAGAAGGCCAUAAGCGAAGGCAUUUUACUGGGUUGUUAUACUGACACUUAAAGACGAAAGUUAAGGGAGCAAAUGGGAUUAGAUACCCCAGUAGUCUUAACUGUAAACGAUGGAUACUCGAAACUGAUUUUAAUUAAAAAAGCAGUUUCUUAGCUAACGCGUUAAGUAUCCCGCCUGAGGAGUACGCUCGCAAGGGUGAAACUCAAAGGAAUUGACGGGGGCUCGCACAAGCGGUGGAGCAUGUGGUUUAAUUCGAUGCAACACGAAAAACCUUACCAGAGCUUAACUUUAUAUAAUAAAAAUAUCAUUAUUGAAUUUUUGUCUAAUAUAUAUAAAUAGGUGGUGCAUGGCUGUCGUCAGCUCGUGUCGUGAGAUGUUGGGUUAAGUCCCGCAACGAGCGAAACCCUUAUGAAAAAUUUAAAUAAUAUUUAUUUUUUAUACUAUUUAGUUUUAACAUUUACUAAACUAAAAGGAAGUGAGGAUGACGUCUAGUCAGCAUGCCCUUUAUGCUCUGGGCUACACACGUGCUACAAUGGAUAAUACAAUAGUAAUAUAUUUUAUCGCGAGAUAAAAUUAAUCCUAAAAAUUAUUCUUAGUCCGGAACAUAAACUGCAACUCGUUUAUGUGAAGUUGGAAUCGCUAGUAAUCGCCAGUCAGCUAUAUGGCGGUGAAUUUGUUCUCGAGCCUUGUACACACUGCCCGUCACGCCACGGAAGUUAAUUUUUCCUAAAACUAUUUGAUUAAAUAACUAAGGAAAAAAUAAUGACUAGGGUGAAGUCGUAACAAGGUAGCCGUACUGGAAGGUGUGGCUGGAUUUUUA